ACGCUAGGCAUGGGACGGGGCGGGGCCCUGGCGGUGGGUCCCGGGCCACCCCCCGCGCUGCUCUGAGCAUGCCCCCGGCGCGCUAUUUAAGGCGGCGCAGUCUCAGCCUCCAGCAGUGCCACCGCCACCGCCUCCACUGCACCCGCUAAUCCGCUGCGCCCAGCUGCCUCCGCCCGCAGCCCUCAGUCUCCCAGCCUCUCCACCUGUGAGAUGGUGA
rnacentral:lncRNA from 1 species